CGCAAGUGCGAUAAGGGGACCCCAAGUGCGAGGGCAUAUAGUCCUCGCUUUUCWCGACUGUAAGGCGGUCGAGGAAUAAGAGCUGGGCAAGACCGGUGCCAGCCGCCGCGGUAAUACCGGCAGCUCAAGUGAUGACCGAUAUUAUUGGGCCUAAAGCGUCCGUAGCCGGCCACGAAGGUUCAUCGGGAAAUCCGCCAGCUCAACUGGCGGGCGUCCGGUGAAAACCACGUGGCUUGGGACCGGAAGGCUCGAGGGGUACGUCCGGGGUAGGAGUGAAAUCCCGUAAUCCUGGACGGACCACCGAUGGCGAAAGCACCUCGAGAAGACGGAUCCGACGGUGAGGGACGAAAGCUAGGGUCUCGAACCGGAUUAGAUACCCGGGUAGUCCUAGCUGUAAACGAUGCUCGCUAGGUGUGGCACAGGCUACGAGCCUGUGCUGUGCCGUAGGGAAGCCGUGAAGCGAGCCGCCUGGGAAGUACGUCCGC
rnacentral:rRNA from 1 species